rnacentral:rRNA from 1 species
UGAGUAACGCGUAUGCGACCUGCCCGUUGCAGGGGGAUAAUCGGGAGAAAUCCCGUCUAAUACCGCGUAAUGCUGCGGGGCUGCAUGGCCCUGCGGCCAAAGGGAGCGAUUCCGGCAACGGAUGGGCAUGCGUGACAUUAGCUAGUUGGCGGGGCAACGGCCCACCAAGGCGACGAUGUCUAGGGGUUCUGAGAGGAAGGUCCCCCACACUGGUACUGAGACACGGACCAGACUCCUACGGAAGGCAGCAG